UUGCUCCCUGAUGUUAGCGGCGGACGGGUGAGUAACACGUGGGUAACCUUCCUGUAAGACUGGGAUAACUCCGGGAAACCGGGGCUAAUACCGGAUGGUUGUUUGAACCGCAUGGUUCAGACAUAAAAGGUGGCUUCGGCUACCACUUACAGAUGGACCCGCGGCGCAUUAGCUAGUUGGUGAGGUAACGGCUCACCAAGGCGACGAUGCGUAGCCGACCUGAGAGGGUGAUCGGCCACACUGGGACUGAGACACGGCCCAGACUCCUACGGGAGGCAGCAGUAGGGAAUCUUCCGCAAUGGACGAAAGUCUGACGGAGCAACGCCGCGUGAGUGAUGAAGGUUUUCGGAUCGUAAAGCUCUGUUGUUAGGGAAGAACAAGUGCCGUUCAAUUAGGGCGGCACCUUGACGGUACCUAACCAGAAAGCCACGGCUAACUACGUGCCAGCAGCCGCGGUAAUACGUAGGUGGCAAGCGUUGUCCGGAAUUAUUGGGCGUAAAGGGCUCGCAGGCGGUUUCUUAAGUCUGAUGUGAAAGCCCCCGGCUCAACCGGGGAGGGUCAUUGGAAACUGGGGAACUUGAGUGCAGAAGAGGAGAGUGGAAUUCCACGUGUAGCGGUGAAAUGCGUAGAGAUGUGGAGGAACACCAGUGGCGAAGGCGACUCUCUGGUCUGUAACUGACGCUGAGGAGCGAAAGCGUGGGGAGCGAACAGGAUUAGAUACCCUGGUAGUCCACGCCGUAAACGAUGAGUGCUAAGUGUUAGGGGGUUUCCGCCCCUUAGUGCUGCAGCUAACGCAUUAAGCACUCCGCCUGGGGAGUACGGUCGCAAGACUGAAACUCAAAGGAAUUGACGGGGGCCCGCACAAGCGGUGGAGCAUGUGGUUUAAUUCGAAGCAACGCGAAGAACCCUUACCAGGUCUUGACAUCCUCUGACAAUCCUAGAGAUAGGACGUCCCCUUUCGGGGGCAGAGUGACAGUGAUGCAUGGUUGUCGUCAGCUCGUGUCGUGAGAUGUUGGGUUAAGUCCCGCAACGAGCGCAACCCUUGAUCUAGUGCAG
rnacentral:rRNA from 1 species